UAGAUCCUUAUAAUUUUGCAAAAGGUAAUAAUUUGAUACUCUACAACAAGUUAUCGUCCUCACAACUGUCAGCCUAUCAGCUCGCUCGAAAUUCGCUUUGACAAUUUCAUAGUAUCUUCCGUCACUAAAAAGAAAUAUUCUGAUAUCGAUGGCUUUCUGACUUUUGUCCGAAAAUCGCAAGUUUUCCGGAUCCCAUCGCAACUCCAAACGCUCCAAAUUGGGACAGUUAUUGGCGAUUCCGUCCAUUAAUUGAUCCACGUGAAUGUUAACUCCUAGCCUCUCUUGAGUGCCCAUUACAAGUAUUCUGAAGUAUUAUUAAAAUUUAAAAAAAUAUUUAUUAUUUAAAUUUAAAUUAUAACAACAGAGAGAGAGAAACAGGGAAGAAACCUUUCUAAAAUUGUUGUAUUAAGUACAGAAAGACAAGGGACAAUUUAAGAUUCUGUUAAGAAGAAUACACUUAGUAUUGUUACUUUUAUUUAGCAUAAUUUUCGUGUAUAUAUAAGAAUGUAAGUCACGUUAACACUAGACAACCAAACUCAUGAAAUAGACGGGUUUUAAAUUUCUAGAUUAAAUUAGACAAAUUAUUAAGAUAAUUUUUGUCAAAUUUUUAUUCCUGAAUUAAUUAU
rnacentral:lncRNA from 1 species